GGCAAGCUUUCUUCAGGCUUAUGUUGAUUACAAAAAGAAACUUGGCUUCAAGGGAAAUCUGCUUUUGGAACCCAAGCCGCAAGAACCUACAAAACACCAAUAUGACUGGGAUGCUGCAACAACCUUUGCUUUCCUUCAAAAAUAUGGCCUUCGUGGUAGUUACUUCCUCUCCUCUUUAAUACACGAGCAUUGUAGUUUUUUCUGAAAGUCGAUUACAAGAUAUGUUUAUUUUCUUGAGAAGGAUUAUUGCUCAUAAUUUUCAGAUUUACCAUCUCUCAAAAUAUUAGAUUUAGAAGAAAUAAUAUAACAAGUAUCUUCUAUAUUAUUUUGAAGGAGAAAAGGCUAUACAUGAUUUUAUUUUCCAAGGUCUGAAAUACAGUUACAGACCAAGGAGUCUAUCGUCAACCGAAAUAAUAUAGGCAUGCCAAUAUACAAUGUGAGAGGCACAAAGGAGGAGUAAUUCGAGGAAAGGA